GCGAGCGUGGUGAAAUUGGCAGACACGCCGGUCUUAGGAACCGGUCCGCAAGGGUUGGAGGUUCAAGUCCUCUCGCUCGCACCA
rnacentral:tRNA from 1 species